UGCCUACGGGGGGCAGCAGUGAGGAAUAUUGGUCAAUGGGCGGGAGCCUGAACCAGCCAAGUCGCGUGAGGGAAGAAGGUACUGAGUAUUGUAAACCUCUUUUGCCAGGGGACAAAGGCGGCCACGGGUGGCCGUAAGAGGGUACCUGGAGAAAAAGCAUCGGCUAACUCCGUGCCAGCAGCCGCGGUAAUACGGAGGAUCCGAGCGUUAUCCGGAUUUAUUGGGUUUAAAGGGAGCGUAGAUGGGUUGUUAAGUCAGUUGUGAAAGUUUGCGGCUCAACCGUAAAAUUGCAAUUGAUACUGGCA
rnacentral:rRNA from 1 species